GGCAGGAUAAGCUAAGGAAGCUAGUGGGCUCAUGCCCCGAAAAUGGCGCACUUGUGCGCCUCUUGCUA
rnacentral:tRNA from 1 species